rnacentral:lncRNA from 1 species
AGGGCGCUAAUCUUGGCGGCCUGAGCCCAAAUUCGAUCGCUGGCGCUCUUCUUGCAUUCCUCGAGCUCCUUCGCGAAAUCCGCCUUCCUCCGGCUAUAUUCCAUGAUCCCCUUCACGUGGAGAUUCCGAAAGUAGGUGGCCUCCGUGGUGGCUUCAGAAUGACCUUCUCUCAAUCUGCGAAGCUCGCCUUCCAUCUUCUUUGAUUUCUUUGUCAAGUGAAGGACUUCCUUCUUUAGCCGCUGGAUCGUCGACU